rnacentral:rRNA from 1 species
CAGGGCUUAAAUGUAAGUUGCAUGGACCAGAGAUGGACCUUUCUUCGGACUACUUACAAGGUGCUGCAUGGUUGUCGUCAGCUCGUGCCGUGAGGUGUCAGGUUAAGUCCUAUAACGAGCGCAACCCCUGUUGUUAGUUGCCAGCAAGUAAAGUUGGGUACUCUAGCGAGACUGCCGGUGCAAACCGUGAGGAAGGUGGGGACGACGUCAAAUCAUCACGGCCCUUACGUCCUGGGCUACACACGUGCUACAAUGGUCGGUACAGAGAGCAGCCACUACGCGAGUAGGAGCGAAUCUUCAAAGCCGAUCUCAGUUCGGAUCGCAGUCUGCAACUCGACUGCGUGAAGCUGGAAUCGCUAGUAAUCGCAUAUCAGCCAUGAUGCGGUGAAUACGUUCCCGGGUCUGUACACACCGAAUCUAGAGCAUCGGAGCGAC